rnacentral:rRNA from 1 species
GACCCCCUAGGGGGGCCGAGUUGGGAAUCUUUCACAAUGGACGCAAGUCUGAUGGAGCAACGCCGCGUGAGUGAAGAAGGGUUUCGGCUCGUAAAGCUCUGUUGGUAGUGAAGAACGAUAGAGGUAGUAACUGGCCUUUAUUUGACGGUAAUUAACCAGAAAGUCACGGCUAACUACGUGCCAGCAGCCGCGGUAAUACGUAGGUGGCAAGCGUUGUCCGGAUUUAUUGGGCGUAAAGAGAGUGCAGGCGGUUCAAUAAGUCUGAUGUGAAAGCCUUCGGCUUAACCGGAGAAGUGCAUCGGAAACUGGAGAACUUGAGUGCAGAAGAGGAGAGUGGAACUCCAUGUGUAGCGGUGGAAUGCGUAGAUAUAUGGAAGAACACCAGUGGCGAAGGCGGCUACCUGGUCUGCAACUGACGCUGAGGCUCGAAAGCAUGGGUAGCGAACAGGAUUAGAUACCCUGGUAGUCCAUGCCGUAAACGAUGAGUGCUAGGUGUUGGGGGGUUUCCGCCUUUCAGUGCUGGAGCUAACGCAUUAAGCACUCCGCCUGGGAGAUCACGA